rnacentral:rRNA from 1 species
GAGGGGAGUGAAAGAGAACCUGAAAACGUGUGCCUACAAGUAGUCAGAGCACGUUAAAGUGUGAUGGCGUGCCUUUUGUAGAAUGAACCGGCGAGUUGCGUUGUGGUGCAAGGUUAAGUCAGAAAAGACGGAGCCGAAGCGAAAGCGAGUCUGAAGAGGGCGAGAUAGUAUCAUGACGCAGACCCGAAACCAAGUGACCUACCCAUGACCAGGUUGAAGGCGUGGUAAAACACGCUGGAGGACCGAACCCACGCAAGUUGAAAAUUGCGGGGAUGAGUUGUGGGUAGCGGUGAAAUUCCAAACGAACUUGGAGAUAGCUGGUUCUCUCCGAAAUAGCUUUAGGGCUAGCCUCGUGGGAAUGAUAAUGGAGGUAGAGCACUGUUUGGACUAGGGGCCCGUCAGGGGUUACUGAAUCCAGAUAAACUACGAAUUCCAGAUAUCCAUACACGGGAGUCAGACUGCGAGUGAUAAGAUCCGUAGUCGAAAGGGAAACAGCCCAGAUCACCGGUUAAGGUCCCAAAAUCUAUGCUAAGUGGAAAAGGAUGUGGAGUUGCGUAGACAACUAGGAUGUUGGCUCAGAAGCAGCCACCAUUUAAAGAGUGCGUAAUAGCUCACUAGUCGAGUGACGCUGCGCCGAAAAUUUACCGGGGCUAAGCAUAGUACCGAAACCGUGGAUGCAGUUAGCUGCGUGGUAGGAGAGCGUUCUAAAGGCGGAGAAGGCAGAUCGAGAGGACUGUUGGAGCGUUUAGAAGUGAGAAUGCCGGUAUAAGUAGCGAAAGACAGGUGAGAAUCCUGUCCGCCGAAAGACUAAGGUUUCCUGGGGCAGGCUCGUCCGCCCAGGGUAAGUCGGGACCUAAGGCAAGGCCGAGAGGCGUAGUCGAUGGAUAACAGGUAGAGAUUCCUGUACUGUGUCAAAUCGUUAAGAGCGAAGGAGGGACGCAGGAGGUGAAGCACGCAUCGCGAUGGAACGAUGUUCAAGCAACAAGUGCGGUUAAGAGUCAAAUGCUUCUAACCAGCAACACGAGUUGUGAAGAGGAGUGAAUUAAAAGUAGCGAAGGUGUGGUAAUCACACUGCCAAGAAAAGCUUCUAGCCAGAGAUGACAUACCCGUACCGCAAACCGACACAGGUAGUCGAGUGGAGAACACUAAGGUGAGCGAGAGAACUCUCGUUAAGGAACUCGGCAAAAUGACCCCGUAACUUCGGAAGAAGGGGUGCUAGCCAAGAGAUUGGUUAGCCGCAGUGAAUAGGCCCAAACAACUGUUUAUCAAAAACACAGGUC